GAUGAACGCUAGCGGCAGGCUUAAUACAUGCAAGUCGAGGGGCAGCAUAAGUAGCAAUACUUGAUGGCGACCGGCAAACGGGUGCGGAACACGUACGCAACCUUCCUUUAAGUGGGGAAUAGCCCGGGGAAACCCGGAUUAAUACCCCGUAAUAUUAUGAUGUGGCAUCACUUUAUAAUUAUAGAUUCAUCGCUUAAAGAUGGGCGUGCGCCUGAUUAGGUAGUUGGCGGGGUAACGGCCCACCAACGCUCGCGAUCAGUAACUGGUGUGAGAGCACGACCAGUCACACGGGCACUGAGACACGGGCCCGGACUCCUACGGGAGGCAGCAGUAAGGAAUAUUGGUCAA
rnacentral:rRNA from 1 species